rnacentral:lncRNA from 1 species
AUCAUAUACACCACGUAAAAACUCUACUUAAUACUAAGGCCACUAUUUAAAAAACAAUUGACUCAAACUAAAACGCAAAAUACUAACACGGCUGAUUUUUUAGGACCAAAGCAAGCAUUGCCCACCCAUCACAAUCGAAACACAAACUGAAUUCAACUGCAAGUAAAAGAUACUAGAAACCAGAAGUAAAUGAAAGGAAAAGCCAUGUCGCCUGGGUAAACCAUGCAUACGG